rnacentral:rRNA from 1 species
UCGGGAAUAUUGCGCAAUGGAGGAAACUCUGACGCAGUGACGCCGCGUAUAGGAAGAAGGUUUUCGGAUUGUAAACUAUUGUCGUUAGGGAAGAUAAAAGACUGUACCUAAGGAGGAAGCCCCGGCUAACUAUGUGCCAGCAGCCGCGGUAAUACAUAGGGGGCGAAGCGUUAUCCGGAAUUAUUGGGUGUAAAGGGUGCGUAGACGGAAGAACAAGUUGGUUGUGAAAUCCCUCGGCUCAACUGAGGAACUGCAACCAAAACUAUUCUCCUUGAGUGUCGGAGAGGAAAGUGGAAUUCCUAGUGUAGCGGUGAAAUGCGUAGAUAUUAGGAGGAACACCAGUGGCGAAGGCGACUUUCUGGACGAUAACUGACGUUGAGGCACGAAAGUGUGGGGAGCAAACAGGAUUAGAUACCC